rnacentral:rRNA from 1 species
CCUACGGGUGGCUGCAGUGGGGAAUAUUGGACAAUGGGCGCAAGCCUGAUCCAGCAAUGCCGCGUGUGUGAAGAAGGCCUUCGGGUUGUAAAGCACUUUUAUCAGGAGCGAAAUCUGCAUGCUUAAUACGUGUGCAGUCUGACGGUACCUGAGGAAUAAGCACCGGCUAACUUCGUGCCAGCAGCCGCGGUAAUACGAAGGGUGCAAGCGUUAAUCGGAAUUACUGGGCGUAAAGGGUGCGUAGGCGGUUGUUUAAGUCUGUCGUGAAAUCCCCG